CGGAGGAAAAGAAACCAACAGGGAUUGCCCUAGUAACGGCGAGUGAAGCGGCAACAGCUCAAAUUUGAAAUCUGGCGCAAGCCCGAGUUGUAAUUUGUAGAGGAUGCUUCUAGGUAGCGACCGGUCUAAGUUCCUUGGAACAGGACGUCAUAGAGGGUGAGAAUCCCGUAUGUGACCGGCCCGCACCUUCUACGUAGCUCCUUCGACGAGUCGAGUUGUUUGGGAAUGCAGCUCUAAAUGGGAGGUAAAUUUCUUCUAAAGCUAAAUACCGGCCAGAGACCGAUAGCGCACAAGUAGAGUGAUCGAAAGAUGAAAAGCACUUUGGAAAGAGAGUUAAAAAGCACGUGAAAUUGUUGAAAGGGAAGCGCUCACAACCAGACUUCUGGGCGGUGUUCCGCCGGUCUUCUGACCGGUCUACUCACCGUCCCGAGGCCAACAUCAUCUGGGACCGCUGGAUAAGACCUCAGGAAUGUAGCUCCCCCUCGGGGGAGUGUUAUAGCCUGUGGUGAUGCAGCGCGUCUCGGGUGAGGUCCGCGCUUCGGCAAGGAUGUUGGCGUAAUGGUUGUCAGCGGCCCGUCUUGAAACACGGACCAAGGAGUCUAACAUCUAUGCGAGUGUUCGGGUGUCAAACCCCUACGCGUAAUGAAAGUGAACGGAGGUGGGAAGCGUAAGCUGCACCAUCGACCGAUCCUGAUGUCCUCGGAUGGAUUUGAGUAAGAGCAUAGCUGUUGGGACCCGAAAGAUGGUGAACUAUGCCUGAAUAGGGUGAAGCCAGAGGAAACUCUGGUGGAGGCUCGCAGCGGUUCUGACGUGCAAAUCGAUCGUCAAAUUUGGGUAUAGGGGCGAAAGACUAAUC
rnacentral:rRNA from 1 species